rnacentral:rRNA from 1 species
GACGAACGCUGGCGGCGUGCUUAACACAUGCAAGUCGAACGGGAGUAUUGAAGAAGCUUGCUUUAGAGAUACUUUAGUGGCGGACGGGUGAGUAACGCGUGAGGAGCUGUCCUAUGCAGGGGGACAACAGCUGGAAACGGCUGCUAAUACCCCAUAAGCCGAGAGGUAAAAGGAUCAAUCCGGCAGAGGAGGUACUCGCGUCCUAUCAGCUAGUAGGUGAGGUAACGGCUCACCUAGGCGAAGACGGGUAGCCGGCCUGAGAGGGCGAACGGCCACACUGGAACUGAGAUACGGUCCAGACUCCUACGGGAGGCAGCAGUGGGGAAUAUUGGGCAAUGGGGGAAACCCUGACCCAGCGACGCCGCGUGGGUGAAGAAAUCCUUCGGGAUGUAAAGCCCUGUUGUAUGGGAAGAGCGGAAGACGGUACCAUACGAGGAAGCCCGGCAAACUACGUGCCAGCAGCCGCGGUAAGCAUACUCGUA